rnacentral:rRNA from 1 species
UACGUAGGGUGCGAGCGUUAAUCGGAAUUACUGGGCGUAAAGCGUGCGCAGGCGGUUCGUUGUGUCGGCGGUGAAAGCCCCGGGCUUAACCUGGGAAUGGCCGUUGAAACUGGCGAACUGGAGUGUGGCAGAGGGGGUGGAAUUCCGCGUGGUAGCAGUGAAAUGCGUAGAGAUGCGGAGGAACACCGAUGGCGAAGGCAGCCCCCUGGGCUAACACUGACGCUCAGGCACGAAAGCGUGGGGAGCAAACAGG